CCGAGUUUACAACUCCCAACCCCUGUGAACAUACCUAUAUGUUGCCUCGGCGGAUCAGGCUCCGCGCCCGUACGGACGCCCGCCGCAGAGCCACUAAACUCUGUUUUCUAGUGUAACUUCUGAGUACAAAUCUGAAAUAAAUCA
rnacentral:misc_RNA from 1 species